CUCAGGAUGAACGCUAGCGGCAGGCCUAACACAUGCAAGUCGCGGGGCAGCACGGGUAGCAAUACCUGGUGGCGACCGGCGCACGGGUGCGUAACGCGUAUGCAACCUGCCCCCAUCAGGGGAAUAGCCCGCCGAAAGGCGGAUUAAUGCCCCAUAGGCCCAGGGCGCCGCAUGGCGCUAUGGGUAAAGCUCCGGCGGAUGGGGAUGGGCAUGCGUGCCAUUAGCUAGUUGGGGCGGUAACGGCGCACCAAGGCGACGAUGGCUAGGGGGUCUGAGAGGAUGGUCCCCCCACACUGGUACUGAGACACGGACCAGACUCCUACGGGAGGCAGCAGUGAGGAAUAUUGGUCAAUGGGCGCUAGCCUGAACCAGCCAAGUCGCGUGAAGGAUGAACAGAUCUAUGGUUUGUAAACUUCUUUUGCAGGGGAGUAAAGUGCGACACGUGUGUUGUAUUGCAAGUACCCUGCGAAUAAGCAUCGGCUAACUCCGUGCCAGCCGCCGC
rnacentral:rRNA from 1 species